rnacentral:rRNA from 1 species
AAUAGAUACCCCGGUAGUCCACGCCGUAAACGAUGAGUGCUAAGUGUUAGAGGGUUUCCGCCCUUUAGUGCUGCAGCAAACGCAUUAAGCACUCCGCCUGGGGAGUACGGUCGCAAGACUGAAACUCAAAAGAAUUGACGGGGGCCCGCACAAGCGGUGGAGCAUGUGGUUUAAUUCGAAGCAACGCGAAGAACCUUACCAGGUCUUGACAUCCUUAUGCCAUCCCUAGAGAUAGGGCUUUCCCUUCGGGGACAUAAGUGACAGGUGGUGCAUGGUUGUCGUCAGCUCGUGUCGUGAGAUGUUGGGUUAAGUCCCGCAACGAGCGCAACCCUUGAUCUUAGUUGCCAGCAUUCAGUUGGGCACGUCUAAGGCGACUGCCGGUGACAAACCGGAGGAAGGUGGGGAUGACGUCAAAUCAUCAUGCCCCUUAUGACCUGGGCUACACACGUGCUACAAUGGAUGGUACAAAGGGCUGCAAAACCGCGAGGUUAAGCGAAUCCCAUAAAACCAUUCUCAGUUCGGAUUGCAGGCUGA